UUAUCUCCAAACCAACCCAAUGGGGUAGAACCCACAUUGACACUCUCAUGGCAACAGGCUCAAGGCUAUUGGGAAAUCUUCUGACUUGUGUCAAAUCUAACAUUUGUCUUUCAUUUAGUUGAGACCAAUCUACAUAAGUCCAGGUUAAAGGGAAGCUUCUUCCCGCCCUCCAGAAGACACAGGCAGUGGCUCAGGUGACCUGCCAGCAUGGAACCUGUCUCUCUCAACAAGAUUGAAAACAUCAAACCAAACCUGAAGCACUGAGAGGUUGGGUAACCAGCUCUGGUCACUGAGAUGGUGAGGGAUGGAUUCAGAAGAGGUCUCCAGUUGUGACACCGCAGAGGACCUGCUCUUGGCCACCACACUCUACCAGCUCUGCAAGAAGCGCUUCCACACUUAUCAUCUCAGAGCGACAGAGCCUAUGUGUGUGGCUGAGGUGCUCAGACUGGCAGGUGAAAUGACUUCAUUAGUGCCCUGGCUCCUGGUGUUGUGAGAGUGGAAACCCAGCCUUCUGAGUUGAAGAACUGGAACAAACAUCAGCCCUGACACACUGAUCUCAGUUUACCUUUGUGAGAAACAGGAACGAAAUGUGAACAUCUAUUUCAGGUGAUGUCAUAAAGCCCGACUCAGAAGAUGGCUAUGAUUUCAACAGCCUGUCGGCAGCACGGAUUUCAGAGUAACUUACAAUCAAUAAUUAAUCUAAACAACAGUGCCGUGUGCACCCCAUUAUUAAAACAGAAGGGGAAACAAAAGGAGACUGAGAGGAUUGCUUUUGAAGGCUCAUGUUGCAGCGGCUUCUGCUGGAUACUAAAAAGCAAAUUAUUGUCAGGGGUUGUUUGUCAUUCACAGGAGGAAUUGGAUUCCUUUAUGUUUAUAAAGUCACCUUGGUAUCUGGAAGGAGAGCAGAAACUUAACAGAGCCUACUUUACUUACGAAUGUAGGAUGCUAAUUUAUUUGCCUUUUUCUUAUAUUAAUAUGCUUAUCUGUAAAAAGGGGGAAGAAAAUAGGGCUGUUUUGAGGAGAUGUGGCUGAGAAAACGGAAAAAGAGAAUUACAGGCCUGAAAUCCCAGCACUCUGGGAGGCUGAGGCCCCUGGCGCUGGUUCUCUCUGGAGGUUGAGUUUCCGUGGGGAGAGAAGAGUGCCCAGCGUGACCACCGUUGGCUGACUUCCCAUGCAUUAUUCCUUGUUUCCCCCGCUGGGGCCCAGCCCACCAGCCCCGCAGUGCAUGAAGCCACUUAUCACCACGGUUCCCAGAGAGGACGGGCUGGCCCAAGUCUGCAUUGUCACCUGCUCUGGGGAAAACAAAGCCCUCUCCCCCGCCCUCCCCGCAGCGUGCUGGGCACAGGGCCAGCCCGUUCUAUGUUUUCAGUAAAUUUUCAAACAUGCUGGUUUUGGUGGCAGCUUUUGCAGUGAUUAUCUCAUUAGGCGCUUGGCCCUGAAACACCUUAUUUAUUGUGGAUUGAAAAAAGUUCACCUUUUCAAGCAAAAAAAAAAAAAAAAAAAAAAAACAGAAGAAAGAAAUAAAAGAACCAGACUGUAGUUUCCCUGGAAAAUUUUCGCUUGUGGGAAAACACCUCCCUGGCCCGUAGA